rnacentral:rRNA from 1 species
GAUGAACGCUGGCGGCGUGCCUAAUACAUGCAAGUCGAGCGAACGGACGAGAAGCUUGCUUCUCUGAUAUUAGCGGCGGACGGGUGAGUAACGCGUGGAUAACCUACCUAUAAGACUGGGAUAACUUCGGGAAACCGUAGCUAAUACCGGAUAAUAUUUUGAACCGCAUGGUUCAAAAGUGAAAGACGGUCUUGCUGUCACUUAUAGAUGGAUCCGCGCUGCAUUAGCUAGUUGGUAAGGUAACGGCUUACCAAGGCAACGAUGCAUAGCCGACCUGAGAGGGUGAUCGGCCACACUGGAACUGAGACACGGUCCAGACUCCUACGGGAGGCAGCAGUAGGGAAUCUUCCGCAAUGGGCGAAAGCCUGACGGAGCAACGCCGCGUGAGUGAUGAAGGUCUUCGGAUCGUAAAACUCUGUUAUUAGGGAAGAACAUAUGUGUAAGUAACUGUGCACAUCUUGACGGUACCUAAUCAGAAAGCCACGGCUAACUACGUG